UACGGAGGAUGCGAGCGUUAUCCGGAUUUAUUGGGUUUAAAGGGUGCGUAGGCGGACUGUCAAGUCAGCGGUAAAAUUGAGAGGCUCAACCUCUUCCCGCCGUUGAAACUGGUGGUCUAGAGUGGAUGAGAAGUACGCGGAAUGCGUGGUGUAGCGGUGAAAUGCAUAGAUAUCACGCAGAACUCCGAUUGCGAAGGAAGCGUACCGGCAUCCAACUGACGCUGAGGCACGAAAGCGUGGGGAUCAAACAGG
rnacentral:rRNA from 1 species